CAGAAGAUAAGGGAGAAGAGGAAAUUUCCAUCAUUUGACCCACCACCAUGUUUGCCCUAGCUGUUUCUAAUACCCCCAAUUUCUUUCUUUCCCAAAAAGACAAAAAGGAUUUUAAUUUUGUUUCAUCAACGAUGUUGAAAGAACAAACAAAACAUUUUACAUCUAACUUUCUUCCAAAGGUUAUUGUAACCAAGUAACACAUCAGCUUAUCAUGGACCACACUUUAUGUUCACU
rnacentral:lncRNA from 1 species